CAGCCGCCGCGGUAAUACGUAGGGUGCGAGCGUUAAUCGGAAUUACUGGGCGUAAAGCGUGCGCAGGCGGUUCGUUAAGACAGAUGUGAAAUCCCCGGGCUUAACCUGGGAACUGCAUUUGUGACUGGCGAGCUAGAGUAUGGCAGAGGGGGGUAGAAUUCCACGUGUAGCAGUGAAAUGCGUAGAGAUGUGGAGGAAUACCGAUGGCGAAGGCAGCCCCCUGGUCCAUGACUGACGCUGAGGCGCGAAAGCGUGGGGAGCAAACAGGAUUAGAUACCCCUGUAGUCCCUGUCUCUUAUAC
rnacentral:rRNA from 1 species